rnacentral:rRNA from 1 species
UACAGAGGGUGCGAGCGUUGUCCGGAAUCACUGGGCGUAAAGGGCGCGUAGGCGGCUCGGUAAGGUUGCGGUGAAAGCCCGGGGCUCAACCCCGGGUCGGCCGUGGCAACUGCUGGGCUGGAGCACUGUAGAGGCAGGUGGAAUUCCGGGUGUAGCGGUGGAAUGCGUAGAGAUCCGGAAGAACACCGGUGGCGAAGGCGGCCUGCUGGGCAGUAGCUGACGCUGAGGCGCGACAGCGUGGGGAG